GAUGAACGCUAGCUACAGGCUUAACACAUGCAAGUCGAGGGGAAACGAUAUUGGAAGCUUGCUUCCGAUAGGCGUCGACCGGCGCACGGGUGAGUAACGCGUAUCCAACCUGCCCAUCACUUGGGGAUAACCUUGCGAAAGUAAGACUAAUACCCAAUGACGUCUCUAGAAGACAUCUGAAGGAGAUUAAAGAUUUAUCGGUGAUGGAUGGGGAUGCGUCUGAUUAGCUUGUUGGCGGGGUAACGGCCCACCAAGGCGACGAUCAGUAGGGGUUCUGAGAGGAAGGUCCCCCACAUUGGAACUGAGACACGGUCCAAACUCCUACGGGAGGCAGCAGUGAGGAAUAUUGGUCAAUGGGCGAGAGCCUGAACCAGCCAAGUAGCGUGAAGGAUGACUGCCCUAUGGGUUGUAAACUUCUUUUAUAAGGGAAUAAAGUGAGUCUCGUGAGAUUUUUUGCAUGUACCUUAUGAAUAAGGACCGGCUAAUUCCGUGCCAGCAGCC
rnacentral:rRNA from 1 species